rnacentral:rRNA from 1 species
CCCUUAGACGUUCUGGGCCGCACGCGCGCUACACUGACGAAGGCAACGAGCUUUCCUUUACCGAAAGGUACGGGUAAUCUUUUGAAACUUCGUCGUGCUGGGGAUAGAUCCUUGCAAUUUUUGAUCUUAAACGAGGAAUUCCUAGUAAGCGCAAGUCAUCAACUUGCGUUGAUUACGUCCCUGCCCUUUGUACACACCGCCCGUCGCUACUACCGAUUGAAUGGUUUAGUGAGGCCUUCGGAUCCGCGACUCGUUUUGUGGAGAAGUUGGACAAACCCAGUCAUUUAGAGGAAGUAAAAGUCGUAACA